CCAAUACACGAAAGCUUGUCUUCAAAUUCAGCAUCAUUGCAACAUACCUUGUUAUAUUACCAGCCAAUCUCAGAUCCUUUACAGUAAAUGCUUUUUCCCCAUGUAAAUCUGAAUCAAUGAUGCCAACGUAGCAGAUCCUUUUGGUUAACUUUUGAUACAGCUUAGUUAACAAUUGCGUGGCAUCCAUUGCUUUUUGAACAUUGCACUAUAAUCAUCCUCAACAUUCAAAACUAUAAAAUAUAAAUCCCAAAAUGACAUAUUGUAGUCCUCUAAUAAUUAAUUUUGCACAUCAGCUUCACAGUCACAGAUUUAUAUUAGCAGGUUGUCUUCUAAAAUCUGCUUGAUAUUGCAGGACCAUGGUGCCUACAGAUUAACCAGCAGAGCUUGGAACCUCCUUUUUUCUUCUGGAGUUAAACAUAGUAAUGGGGCUUCAGCUUAUUCCUUGUCAUAUAAAUUCACUCACGGACAACAUUUUGAUUCAUCACUUUGUAGAAAUUCAUUCUCAAUUCUUAACUAAUAUUUAUGCUUACAUCAAAAAUUUUACCAUCAUUCAUUUU
rnacentral:lncRNA from 1 species